rnacentral:rRNA from 1 species
GAUGAACGCUGGCGGCGUGCCUAAUACAUGCAAGUCGAGCGAACGGACGAGAAGCUUGCUUUUCUGAUGUUAGCGGCGGACGGGUGAGUAACACGUGGAUAACCUACCUAUAAGACUGGGAUAACUUCGGGAAACCGGAGCUAAUACCGGAUAAUAUUUUGAACCGCAUGGUUCAAAAGUGAAAGACUGUCUUGCUGUCACUUAUAGAUGGAUCCGCGCUGCAUUAGCUAGUUGGUAAGGUAACGGCUUACCAAGGCAACGAUGCAUAGCCGACCUGAGAGGGUGAUCGGCCACACUGGAACUGAGACACGGUCCAGACUCCUACGGGAGGCAGCAGUAGGGAAUCUUCCGCAAUGGGCGAAAGCCUGGCGGAGCAACGCCGCGUGAGUGAUGAAGGUCUUCGGAUCGUAAAACUCUGUUAUUAGGGAAGAACAUAUGUGUAAGUAACUGUGCACAUCUUGACGGUACCUAAUCAGAAAGCCACGGCUAACUACGUG